rnacentral:rRNA from 1 species
AGGUCCAAUAGCCUAUAUUAAAGUUGUUGCAGUUAAAAAGCUCGUAGUUGGAUUUCUGGUUGGUCGUGUGGGUCUGCUCUUACGAGUGUGCACCAUUCAUGUCUGGCCAUCCUUUGGGAGAGCCACAGUGGCAUUAAGUUGUUGGUGUGGGGAUCCCAAUCCUUUACUGUAAAGAAAUUAGAGUGUUCAAAGCAGACUUACACCGUUGAAUAUGUUAGCAUGGAAUAAUAAUAUAGGACUAUUGUACUAUUUUGUUGGUUUGCGCGCAAUAGUAAUGAUUAACAGGGACAGUUGGGGGUAUUUGUAUUCCAUUGUCAGAGGUGGAAUUCUUUGAUUUUUGGAAGACAUACUACUGUGAAAGCAUUUACCAAAGAUGUUUUAA